GUGUACCCACCAAAUAGAGUUCGACUGUUCUCAAAAGAUGAUGUACUACUCUACAUUAAAGAAAUGAAGAUUUCUGGAUUUGAUACAGAUGGACAAUGCAACACAAGUACUCAAGAGAAUAUUCUUGCAAUUCUGGAAUUUAACCCUGAAGGGCUGCCACAAGGAUGGGUGAAAGAAGUGGUCUUUAGAAAGACACAUACUGGUAGAAUUAGAAGAGACCGGGUAUGUGAUUGCAGUUAAUCAUUAUUAUUCACUUUGAAUGUACAUGGGUUUUUCACAUUGUCUUUUGCAGCACUACACUGAUCCCAUUAAAAGUUAUGUAUUCCGUACCAAGAGGUCAGCCGCUUUCUACGUGGAAACAGGGAAAGUAACAAUACGUGCCUUUGUUCAGAAGACAAGUGUCCAUGAGGUGUACUCUUUUGAAAAGUUCACACAUUUGCAUGAAAGCUUACAGAAAAGACUAAACUUAGGAAGGACGAACCAGCUGCGUACACGAUCAUCGAAACUCCAAAAGCUAUCACUGAAAGAAGGGAUACUUAGUGAUGACCAAAGUUCAUCUAGCGAUGGCGACUCUGACUAUUCAGAUACACUACAAGAGGCAGGACAAAAGAAGGUCAAUCAUGUGAAGGCUACUCUAAAAGGCAAAGAAGUAAUGGCUUCAACUACUGUCAAGCGUCCUAGAGGGAGGCCCCCCAAACGAGGAAAUGCAAGAAAGUGAACAAGUUGCAUUGCAAAAAACAAACAUCACUAUGAGACCAAAAGUGGCCAAGUGGGAGGUUGCCAAAAAUCAUAACUAGCUCAAACUAAAGAGAUCAUCAAAGGAAGUGUGUUGUGUCUUUACAAAACAUUUUCCAUUAAAUGGUGAACUUGUUAGUCAUUCUCCAUGAAAAAAAUUUGUGGCAUACAUAUUUUGAACUAGCUAAUAUAUUGACGA